AUUGUCAUGAAAGUUCUCUGCCAUUGGCCGUGAAAUUUUAAAAGAAUGCUUACUUUGUUCCCCCUUUGGGAGUAAAAGUUUUAAAAGUUUUUUUCUAGAACAUUUCAGAACAUGUUGAGACAAUGGUAGAAGUCAUUAUAUGAUAAGGUAAACUCAGUCAAAUUUUAAGAUAGUAUCUGUGUAAGGAGGUAAAUUGGUGAAAUAUAUAUAAUGACAGUGAUUGGGAUACUCUGAUGAUAUGCAAAUUGCAUAUUAUUUCUCCUUGUUUUGUAUAUCCAUAUCAACCUUGUAGAUAGCUCUUAAAUCACAUGCAGAUAUACUCAUUCAUUGAUUUUUCUUUUUAAAGGAAUAUAUUCUUUCUAGGGAUCAUAACUUAAAUGACACAAGAAAAAGAAAACCACAACAAAACCUCAGUAUUCUCUUCCCACACCCACUUUUGGAUGUAUACUGUUGGUAAUGGUAUUUCCUUUAAAAUUAGAAAAUUAAGAGUUUUUUUCCUUUUGUUACCGGUAGCUGACUUUAUACACAUUUUCUUUCAGGUUAUAUUAUGCUUUUUGGUAAAUAGGACCUCUGUUUGCUUUGGUUUAUUGAUUACAGCAGUGCUUCAGUUCUCCUUGUUAAUUGUUCCGGGAGGUGCAAUGGGUACCAAAAAUGGUAAAUAGACCUUCUUGACCAACAAACCAAGAAUCAUUUUAACAAAAUCUACACUGGAGCAGCCUGACUUUUUCUUCUGACCUGUAAUUUCCUAAGAUCGCCCGUCCAAUUUGAAGCCGGAAAGGAACUGGAAAGAGAAGUCUUACAAGCUAUUUGUCUUCUUGGCUUUCUCCUUUUCAUCCUCACCUACACCUAGUUAACAGACACUGAGCACCUGCCUCCACAGAGCAGGAGAGCACGACGGAGUGGUCUGAGCGUCUGAGAUACAUUGUGUAGCAGCUGGAGGUUUUGGAAAGGGGAAGGAGCCAGACGAGCUCAAGUGCUGGUUACACUGAUAGGAAAAGAGCAUUGAAGAGGAAUCUCAAAAAAGAAGAGUGCAGGUACCAGAGUGGAGAGGGUGGUGGCGUUUCCCUUCCUCUUUUUAUUUUAGGCCAUUAUUACCACAGCGUGUUGAUAGGAAUCCACAAACACCAUGAUUUCUGUGAGGUUUGUGUAUAUAAUAUAAUUGCUGCAAACAGUUUCUCUGACUUUACCUGCAAACACUGUGAUUUUAAACGUGUUACUCAGGCAGUUCUAAAAUAGAUUUGUUUUUAUGCCCUCACAAUGCUAUAAAAAAACUAACUAUAGAAUGAAAUACACAAAUAUCAGGUACCCAGAAUUCAGAUUUAUUAUUUAUUUUAAUUAUGUGCAGUUAUACUGAAUAAUAGUAAAUUACCUCUGCCAUUUACUAAUCACAAGUGUUUAUUAAUCUUAAAUUAACAG
rnacentral:lncRNA from 1 species